ensembl:miRNA Gm26195 predicted gene, 26195
ACAUUGUUUCGAUAUAUAUAUAUGUGUGUAUGUGUGUGUGUGUGUGUGUAUGUAUAUGUGUAUAUACAUAUAUAUAUAUAUAUACAUACAUACAUACAUAC